AUGUGUGUGUGAGAGAGAGAGAGAGAGAGAGGGAGGGAGCAUUGCUUAGUAGUUAGGAUGUUGCAUUCAAGAUCUAGUGAUCGUGAUUUCUGUUCCUAGACUGAGUGGUGCAUUGUGUUCUUGAGCAAAAUACUUCACCUCA